UAGGAUGUGCCAGCCGCCGCGGUAAUACGGAAGGUCCGGGCGUUAUCCGGAUUUAUUGGGUUUAAAGGGAGCGUAGGCCGGAGAUUAAGCGUGUUGUGAAAUGUAGACGCUCAACGUCUGCACUGCAGCGCGAACUGGUUUCCUUGAGUACGCACAAAGUGGGCGGAAUUCGUGGUGUAGCGGUGAAAUGCUUAGAUAUCACGAAGAACUCCGAUUGCGAAGGCAGCUCACUGGAGCGCAACUGACGCUGAAGCUCGAAAGUGCGGGUAUCGAACAGG
rnacentral:rRNA from 1 species